ACCUAGCUGGCUUGGUUGGUAGAGCAUGUGACUCUUGAUCUCGGGAUUGUAAGUUCAAGCCCCAUGUUGGGUA
rnacentral:tRNA from 1 species